ensembl:lncRNA
GUGUCUUCUCUCGGAUCGCGUGUGCGUUGUUCAGGAGAACCAUUUCUGGCUGCAGAAGGUUGCCUAAGCUGAUAACCAAAGGAAUGAAAAGAUGGAGGGAUUAGGAAGUGCAGCGAGAUAAACUCAGGCUAUAAGCAAGGUGCUGAUAAUAAAAACUGAGCAAGCUUGCUACGAAUGCAGGUGUGCUUCUUACCAUUAUGAAGCCAAGCCUGGCUGUCACUGCAGGGCAAACUUGCUGCCCUUACACACCCGGUGCAUGAAACACAUGGGGGAGUGUGGGCAGGAGGCUGUGUAGCCAUUGGGACAGCAUCUUCCAGCCUUCAAGUCCAUUAACCUCUGGCUUUCACCUCCCUCUCCAAUAGGAAUAGUGAUUUUUGUCUGAGGAACGUGUUCUUUGAAAAAUAAGGUCCCACUGGGGCACAGCUGGGUCCACAGACAGCACAGACCAGGCAGUGCAGGCCAUGUGUCAGGCCGUGCUCAUCCUGACUGGAACAAGCUGCCCAACGUGGGCUCUCACAACGGGCAGCACCUUGGGCUUCACUCCAUGAGCUCAUUUGACAUUUUCACACAUUCUGUAGCGCUGCUCUGACUGGUGCCACUCGCUCUUCUGUCAUCUAAUUAACUAACGAGACACACGAUGAAGCCAUGACAUGCACAAGGAAUGACAGGGCCACCGAGUGCUGCAGUGUGACGUUCCCUACGGCGCCCAGCAGAGCAGCAGGAGCGGGGCAGGCUUGCAGAGAUAAGGCACUAAUGGAUGUUGAAGUACGGGCACUUCUCAGAGUGAAGAGAACCAGUGCCCCAAAUGAGACCCAAGGAGCUUUAACCCCGGGCACUUUGCUGCAGGAGGAAACUGCUGCUUCCACUGGGAGCCGGCCCUGGCUGGGCAGCAUGAUGGGGGCUUCCCAAAGUCAACACAGAGCCCUUGGAUCUGCAGUAGCUCCCUUGGAAUGUUUCAGUUUUGAGUUAAUAAAGCUGUUAUACCUAAAUCAAGUUAGAGGUAUCUGAUGUUACUCUAUUCGGUUUUCAUUGCCUUUUGUUUAGGAAACUAAAUACCAUGAUGCAUAAUAAUAAUUAAAGAUUGGCAGAUGAGCAGGAAAUCAAUCCACAUCUCCCGAGCAGAUAUUAACUCCCAUUCAUUUUUUUGCUUGUUUGCUCCUUUUUACAAACAUGCAGCCACACUGCCUUACCUACACUGAAUUAGCAGAGCUCACCAACAGAUGCCCUCACUGAUGGAGCACGGCUGGGGCUGCUCUCUGGAAGAGCUCCCAGCAUCCCCUGUGACCCCCCUGCAAAUGCAGUUUGCAGAACAGACUCUCCUCUCUUUCAGCAGCUCUCUCAGUACACAAAUGACACUUGCAGCUCUUACAGCCAGGGUGUAUAGCAUGCAUGAGAAAAUAAAAAAGCCUCUGCUCACCUGGGUUUGCAGGGGGCAGAUUAAAGAAACCCAAUCUGUUUUCUUUGAAAGAGGAGACAGGUGGGUAACUUGAUUACAGCCUACAAAUGCCAGCUCAGAAAAAGCUUUGUGAUGAUAAGAGGGGCUUCAGUGAGUAGCUGAAAACACAGGCAGAUCCAGAGCCUGGAAACUGAAAUGAGGCAACUUCAGAGUGGGAAGCAGGGUGGCUGUGGCUGAAGCAGGAGCUUUGUGCCAAAGGAGGAACACAUGCAGUAUCCCAGGGGUGGUAACUUUCAGGCCAUGCAACCCCAUGGAUAAAGCCAGCGUGCAGGGAGUGGGUGUGCAGUGACUGUACCUCCCGUGUUCCGAAAUGCAUCCAGGAGAUCCUGCAGAGAUAAAAGGCAGAAGGGAAAGGGAACCGCAAAGAAAGGCCUGUGGGUGGUGCUGGGGGGAAACAUGACAACAGAAAAUGAUGUGCACACACAUCAGUGCCUGCACAGACAGCACGACAAGAUGAGUUGUUAACCUGAAGCCUGCAGAGCAGAAAAGCAAAGGAGGGAGCUAACCUGUCACAGCCAUGACUGAGGGGUUUGGGUUGUGCCCGCAGGUGGCACUGCAGGUGAUGCGCAUUUGCACAGAGAAAUGAAGGUCCAGGUGAGUUAAAGGCAUCUCUGUGCAGAUCAGCCUGCAGAGCCCAAAGGGAAGCCCACGGAGAUGUGGAGCCAGCAUACAGUCCUUCCUAUGGCGUUUCUUUCUCCACCAAACAGAGGUGGGGUCACAAACUCAGCAUGAGGUGUGAACAGAAGAGAGCUGCUGGUAGCAGCCAGGCUGCAGGACAGCAUCGUGUAUGUGACAUUCUGGGGCUGGGCACUGGAGCACCAUCCACCACAGCCCUUCAAGGAGAGGCAGGAGCAGAUUUGGGAUUGGAUAAAAGCACCGUGAGACAUCCAGUGAUCGCAGCUCCAUCCAAAGGACACCUGCUGGCUUCCAAAGGCAGCAGCCUUCCUGCCAACAGCAAAUGCAAGUUGCCAGAUGUCCAUUCAGAGACCACUUGGGUUUUUAAGUAUCUAAGAGACAUUCUUGCCUAAGUGUCUCUUUAUCUGUUCUGUGCUUCCCAAAUGAAAACACAACAGAUAGGCAAGAUCAAGAGAUUUCCAAUCCGAGAAGAGCACUGGAACCACAGCGGCAAAUGGCAGCCAAAAAGUAGUUAUGAGUUCGUUUUCAAGGCAGGGUUGGAAAGAAGCUGAGGACAAACCACCCUAAACAACAGGGGGCCCUGCAGGGGCUCAUGGCUACUAAUUGAUCAUGAUGGCCGUUGUGGGGGGAGAAAUGCCCCCACUUCUUGAGAACUGCCAAGGAGAUUUGAGAGGAGAUGGUGUGGAUCCCAAAGUUCAGGUAGGAGUUCAGCAGAGUGCCAAAGGAAAACAGGGCUGGUAGAGAAGUGCCGCAUGUCAGGACAUGUCCUGCCACCCUCAGAGACUGGAGCUCCUGUAGUGCAAAAUACCUUGCAGCAGAUGACAGCCUCAGAGGACAGCGAGAUGAGUCCAAAGGCAGUGAUACUGUCGUUGAGUUUGGCUGUGCUGUCACCAGGAGGAACACACAGUGUCCCUGCAGGUUCCUUGCACUUCAGUGAUGCUCCAGCACGGCCUGCCCAGCUGUGAAUGGGUUGGAGAAGAGCCUGGCAGAGUUUUUAGCAGAACACAGCCCUGACACACAGGAGGUAUUUGGGAACUCUUGCAAAUCCUUUCUAAAUCAUUAGAGUAAAUUUUUUAAACCUGAUGAAUAUUAUACUAAUGCUCAGAUCAAACAUGACUUAAAUUUUGGGCAGCAAUGGGGGAAGGUCAUGCUGCAAGUGGAAAACCAGCUGCAAGGAGCUGGAGUUGCCUCGGGCAGAAUUCAACAUAAGCACCAUCAGUGCCGCAGCAUCGCUCCCUGUGUGUCCAUGUGUUCUUUUAUGGUCCCAAUGCCACUGUCAGAGCAGGUGCAAAGGAAAAGAAGAAAGAUAAACAAAACUAAAGUAGCCCUCCGUAACAGUCCACUCCAUAACCAAAGUCCCUUUGUGUGCUGGUUAAGUAAGAAUUUCUUCUUCCUUUCUCCAGCACCUCUCUGGUGCUCAGGGGCUAAUUGUCUUGUGUUCAUCCCAGUUCCUGGACUGCAUCCCAGCAGGCUCUAUGGCAGCCAAAUCCCGAUCUGUUUUUCCUCUCUGCUCCCUGCAGUGUGACGGGACUUGUUGGCGCUCGCGUGGUUUCCUACAGUUGUCUCUAUGCUGUGACAAGGGAGCCUCGUGCUGCCGGGUUUCCUCCCAGCGAGGAGCCAGGGCUGGUGGGACACCGUGCUGAGCUGGGGAGCUAUGAGGAGAGCCGGGAGCAUUGCUGCACCCUGCCUGCCUUGCCACUGUAUGGAGGUCCAUGGCUUUACCCAAGGACAUGUAGUCACAGUGAGUGACUCCUGGCUGCUGCACAGCAUCCCAGCACUAACCUCAAGCACACCCCCCAGCGUGGAUAUUUAUGAUCCCGAUUUACCACCAAACAAAAAACGCAGGUUGCUGUGUAAAUAACUG